ACUGAUGUGGCAGACAAGUGCUAUAGAUUUAAGAUCUAUAUAUAAAGGUUAUAAUCCUUUUUUCAGGA
rnacentral:tRNA from 1 species